rnacentral:rRNA from 1 species
CUAAGCCGAGGCCGACAGGCGUAGGCGAUGGACAACAGGUUGAUAUUCCUGUACCAGUUGCUUUUGUUUGAGCGAUGGAGGGACGCAGGAGGCUAAGGAAUGCACACGAUCGGAAAUGUGUGUCCAAGCAGCAAGUCUGAGAACGAGUGAAAUGCUUUUUCUCUCAAGGACAAGCUGUGAUGGGGAGCGAAAUUUAGUAGCGAAGUUCCUGAUGUCACACUGCCAAGAAAAGCUUCUAGUGAGAAAGUAACUGCCCGUACCGCAAACCGACACAGGUAGUUGAGGAGAGAAUCCUAAGGUGUGCGAGAGAACUCUCGUUAAGGAACUCGGCAAAAUGACCCCGUAACUUCGGGAGAAGGGGUGCUGACCGCAAGGUCAGCCGCAGUGAAUAGGCCCAAGCGACUGUUUAUCAAAAACACAGGUCUCUGCAAAAUCGAAAGAUGACGUAUAGGGGCUGACGCCUGCCCGGUGCUGGAAGGUUAAGAGGAGAGGUUAGCGCAAGCGAAGCUUUGAAUUGAAGCCCCAGUAAACGGCGGCCGUAACUAUAACGGUCCUAAGGUAGCGAAAUUCCUUGUCGGGUAAGUUCCGACCCGCACGAAAGGCGUAACGAUCUGGGCACUGUCUCAACGAGAGACUCGGUGAAAUUAUAGUACCAGUGAAGAUGCUGGUUACCCGCGACAGGACGGAAAGACCCCAUGGAGCUUUACUGCAGUUUGAUAUUGCGUGUUUGUAUCACAUGUACAGGAUAGGUAGGAGCCGAAGAUACCGGGACGCCAGUCUCGGAGGAGGCAACGGUGGGAUACUACCCUUGUGAUAUGACCACUCUAACCCGCUGCUCUUAGCGAGCAGGGAGACAGUGUCAGACGGGCAGUUUGACUGGGGCGGUCGCCUCCAAAAAUGUAACGGAGGCGCCCAAAGGUUCCCUCAGAAUGGUUGGAAAUCAUUCGUAGAGUGUAAAGGCAGAAGGGAGCUUGACUGCGAGACCUACAAGUCGAGCAGGGACGAAAGUCGGGCUUAGUGAUCCGGUGGUUCCGCAUGGAAGGGCCAUCGCUCAACGGAUAAAAGCUACCCUGGGGAUAACAGGCUUAUCUCCCCCAAGAGUUCACAUCGACGGGGAGGUUUGGCACCUCGAUGUCGGCUCAUCGCAUCCUGGGGCUGUAGUCGGUCCCAAGGGUUGGGCUGUUCGCCCAUUAAAGCGGUACGCGAGCUGGGUUCAGAACGUCGUGAGACAGUUCGGUCCCUAUCCGUCGCGGGCGUUGGAAAUUUGAGAGGAGCUGUCCUUAGUACGAGAGGACCGGGAUGGACACACCGCUGGUGUACCAGUUGUUCUGCCAAGAGCAUCGCUGGGUAGCUAUGUGUGGACGGGAUAAACGCUGAAAGCAUCUAAGCGUGAAGCCCCCCUCAAGAUGAGAUUUCCCAUCACUUUAAGUGAGUAAGACCCCUGAGAGAUGAUCAGGUAGAUAGGUUGGGAGUGGAAGUACAGCGAUGUAUGGAGCGGACCAAUACUAAUCGGUCGAGGACUUAACC